AGAUGCAAAUUGUUUUAUAGUAAAGAGGGAAAUUAUGUAGAGAAGGGAGUUGGAGUGUUGUAUUUAAAAACUGUGGAAAGUAAAGUUCAGCUGUUGGUUAGAGCAGAUACAAAUUUAGGAAAUAUCCUUCUGAAUAUCAUGCUAACUGAGACUCUUCCUAUUAAGAGAGUUGGAAAGAAUAAUGUUUUGAUUGUAUGUGUACCAAAUCCUCCUAUUUAUCCUAAACAAGAAGGAACAGAAGCUAUUCCACUUCUAAUCAGAGUGAAAACAACAGAAGAUGCCGAUGAACUGUUGCAAAAAUUAGAAGAGCAUAAAUCUUGAAAUUAAAAUUUCUAAUUAAGAACUGUGAAAUUGUCUUAACAGUGUAGUUUUGGAUGUAAAUUACCAGAAAACUUAAAAAUUAAUUACUGAUCGAUUGUA